rnacentral:misc_RNA from 1 species
GAAAUGCGAUAACUAAUGUGAAUUGCAGAAUUCAGUGAAUCAUCGAGUCUUUGAACGCACAUUGCGCCCCCUGGUAUUCCGGGGGGCAUGCCUGUCCGAGCGUCAUUGCUGCCCUCAAGCACGGCUUGUGUGUUGGGCCCCGUCCCCGGUACCCCCGGGGACGGGCCCGAAAGGCAGCGGCGGCACCGCGUCCGGUCCUCGAGCGUAUGGGGCUUUGUCACCCGCUCCGCAGGCCCGGCCGGCGCCAGCCGACCAACCCAACCAUUUUCUACAGGUUGACCUCGGAUCAGGUAGGGAUACCCGCUGAACUUAA